rfam:Oryza glumipatula chromosome 4, whole genome shotgun sequence.
AAUAAGUGUAGUUUUGCAUUAUUCAUGUUUAACGUUUGACCAUUCGUCUUAUUUAGAAUUUUUUAUUAUUAGUAUUUUUGUUGUUAUUAGAUGAUAAAACAUGAAUAGUACUUUUCUGUAUGACUAAUUUUUUUAAUAAAAUUUUCAAAUAAGACGAAUGGUCAAACGUUGGACACGAAUAUCCACGGGUACACUUAUU